rnacentral:rRNA from 1 species
AGAGUUUGAUCCUGGCUCAGGACGAACGCUGGCGGCGUGCUUAACACAUGCAAGUCGAACGGUAAGGCCCUUCGGGGUACACGAGUGGCGAACGGGUGAGUAACACGUGGGUAAUCUGCCCUGCACAUCGGGAUAAGCCUGGGAAACUGGGUCUAAUACCGAAUAGGACCACAGGACACAUGUCCUGUGGUGGAAAGCUUUUGCGGUGUGGGAUGGGCCCGCGGCCUAUCAGCUUGUUGGUGGGGUGAUGGCCUACCAAGGCGACGACGGGUAGCCGGCCUGAGAGGGUGUCCGGCCACACUGGGACUGAGAUACGGCCCAGACUCCUACGGGAGGCAGCAGUGGGGAAUAUUGCACAAUGGGCGAAAGCCUGAUGCAGCGACGCCGCGUGGGGGAUGACGGCCUUCGGGUUGUAAACCUCUUUCACCAUCGACGAAGGUCCGGGUUUUCUCGGGCUGACGGUAGGUGGAGAAGAAGCACCGGCCAACUACGUGCCAGCAGCCGCGGUAAUACGUAGGGUACGAGCGUUGUCCGGAAUUACUGGGCGUAAAGAGCUCGUAGGUGGUUUGUCGCGUUGUUCGUGAAAUCUCACGGCUUAACUGUGAGCGUGCGGGCGAUACGGGCAGACUUGAGUACUGCAGGGGAGACUGGAAUUCCUGGUGUAGCGGUGAAAUGCGUAGA